UGGUGGGUUGCCUUGUCAGGUUGAUUCCGGUAACGAACGAGACCUCAGCCUGCUAAAUAGUCACGUCUACCUUGGUAGAUGCCUGACUUCUUAGAGGGACUAUUGGCGUUUAGCCAAUGGAAGUGUGAGGCAAUAACA
rnacentral:rRNA from 1 species